GCCAUGCGAGUCACGCCGCAGGCGUGGCAUACGGCUCAGUAACACGUAGUCAACAUGCCCAAAGGACGUGGAUAACCUCGGGAAACUGAGGAUAAACCGCGAUAGGCCAAGGUUUCUGGAAUGAGCCAUGGCCGAAACCUAUAUGGCCUUUGGAUUGGACUGCGGCCGAUCAGGCUGUUGGUGAGGUAAUGGCCCACCAAACCUGUAACCGGUACGGGCUUUGAGAGAAGUAGCCCGGAGAUGGGCACUGAGACAAGGGCCCAGGCCCUAUGGGGCGCAGCAGGCGCGAAACCUCUGCAGUAGGCGAAAGCUUGACAGGGUUACUCUGAGUGAUGCCCGCUAAGGGUAUCUUUUGGCACCUCUAAAAAUGGUGCAGAAUAAGGGGUGGGCAAGUCUGGUGUCAGCCGCCGCGGUAAUACCAGCACCCCGAGUUGUCGGGACGAUUAUUGGGCCUAAAGCAUCCGUAGCCUGUUCUACAAGUCCUCCGCUAAAUCCACCUGCUUAACGGAUGGGCUGCGGGGGAUACUGCAGAGCUAGGAGGCGGGAGAGGCAAACGGUACUCAGUGGGUAGGGGUAAAAUCCUUUGAUCUACUGAAGACCACCAGUGGCGAAGGCGGUUUGCCAGAACGCGCUCGACGGUGAGGGAUGAAAGCUGGGGGAGCAAACCGGAUUAGAUACCCGGGUAGUCCCAGCUGUAAACGAUGCAGACUCGGUGAUGGGUUGGCCUCGAGCCAACCCAGUGCCGCAGGGAAGCCGUUAAGUCUGCCGCCUGGGGAGUACGGUCGCAAGACUGAAACUUAA
rnacentral:rRNA from 1 species